UAAGCAUAUCAAUAAGCGGAGGAAAAGAAACCAACAGGGAUUGCCCUAGUAACGGCGAGUGAAGCGGCAACAGCUCAAAUUUGAAAUCUGGCUCCCUAGGGGGUCCGAGUUGUAAUUUGCAGAGGAUGCCUCGGGUGCGGGUUCCUUCCGAGUUCCCUGGAACGGGACGCCAUAGAGGGUGAGAGCCCCGUCUGGUCGGAUACCCAGCCCGUGUGAGGCUCCCUCGACGAGUCGAGUAGUUUGGGAAUGCUGCUCUAAGGGGAGGUAUACUCCUUCCAAGGCUAAAUACCGGCUAGAGACCGAUAGCGCACAAGUAGAGUGAUCGAAAGAUGAAAAGCACUUUGAAAAGAGAGUCAAAUAGCACGUGAAAUUGUUGAAAGGGAAGCGCUUGCUACCAGACUUGGGUUCGGCGGUUCAACCGGCGCCACGCGCCGGGGCACUCCGCCGGCCCAGGCCAGCAUCAGCUCUCCGUCGGGGGCAAAGACGCCGGGAAUGUAGCUCCCCCCCGGGGGAGUGUUAUAGCCCGGCGUGUCAUACCCUUCGGGGGGCUGAGGUCCGCGCUCCGCAAGGAUGCUGGCGUAAUGGUAGUCAGCGACCCGUCUUGAAACACGGACCAAGGAGUCAACCUUAUGUGCAAGUGCCCGGGCGUAAAACCCCAGCGCGUAAUGAAAGUGAACGUAGGUGAGAGCUUCGGCGCAUCACCGACCGAUCCUGAUGUCCUCGGACGGAUUUGAGUGAGAGCAUAUAGGGUUGGACCCGAAAGAAGAUGAACUAUGCGUGUGUAGGGUGAAGCCAGAGGAAACUCUGGUGGAGGCUCGCAGCGGUUCUGACGUGCAAAUCGAUCGUCAAACAUGCGCAUGGGGGCGAAAGACUAAUCGAAUCUUCUGGUAGCUGGUUUCCGCCGAA
rnacentral:rRNA from 1 species